rnacentral:rRNA from 1 species
GACGAACGCUGGCGGCGUGCUUAACACAUGCAAGUCGAACGGACAGGCCCUGCUUUUGUGGGGUGCUCGAGAGGCGAACGGGUGAGUAAAACGUGAGUAACCUGUCCUUGACUUUGGGAUAACUUCAGGAAACUGGGGAUCAUAUAGGAUAGGAGAUCUUGCUGCACGGUGGGGGAUGGAAAGUUUCGGCGGUUGGGGAUGGACUCGCGGCUUAUCAGCUAGUUGGUGGGGUAGUGGCUUACCAAGGCUGUGACGGGUAGCCGGCCUGAGAGGGUGACCGGCCACAUUGCGCCUGAGGUACGGCCCAGACUCCUACCGUAGGCAGCAGUGGAGAGUAUUGCACAAUGGGCGGAAGCCUGAUGCAGCAACGCCGCGUGCGGGAUGACGUCCUUCGGGUUGUAAACCGCUUUCGCCUUUGACGUGGCGUGAUUGACGGUACUGGGUAAAGAAGCACCGGCUAACUACGUG